rnacentral:rRNA from 1 species
GACGUAGGGCGCGAGCGUUGUCCGGAUUUAUUGGGCGUAAAGAGCUCGUAGGCGGCUUGUUGCGUCGGCUGUGAAAUCCCGUGGCUUAACUGCGGGCUUGCAGCUGAUACGGGCGGGCUGGAGUUCGGUAGGGGAGACUGGAAUUCCUGGUGUAGCGGUGAAAUGCGCAGAUAUCAGGAGGAACACCGGUGGCGAAGGCGGGUCUCUGGGCCGAUACUGACGCUGAGGAGCGAAAGCGUGGGGAGCGAAUAGG